GUGACGAAGCGACGCCGCGUGUGGGAAGAAGGCCUUCGGGUUGUAAACCACUGUCGGGAGUUAGGAAAUGCAGGUGCGUUAAUAGCGCACUUGCUUGACUAAGGCUCCAGAGGAAGCCACGGCUAACUCUGUGCCAGCAGCCGCGGUAAUACAGAGGCGGCAAGCGUUGUUCGGAAUUAUUGGGCGUAAAGAGCACGUAGGCGGCCUUGCAAGUCAGUUGUGAAAGCCUUCCGCUUAACGGAAGAACGGCAUCUGAUACUACAGGGCUUGAGUACGGGAGGGGAGAGUGGAACUUCUGGUGGAGCGGUGAAAUGCGUAGAUAUCAGAAGGAACGCCGGCGGCGAAAGCGACUCUCUGGUCCGAAACUGACGCUGAGUGUGCGAAAGCUAGGGGAGCAAACGGGAUUAGAUACCCCGGUAGUUCUAGCCGUAAACGAU
rnacentral:rRNA from 1 species